rnacentral:rRNA from 1 species
AUCUUUAAGUAAAAAUUUAAAGCCCAGCCUGCUCAAUGAUAUAUUUAAAUAGCCGCAGUAUAUACUGUGCUAAGGUAGCAUAAUAAUUAGCUUCUUAAUUAGAAGAUAGAAUGAAAGACUAAACGAAUGAUAAUCUGUCUCUAUAAUAAUCACUAAAUUAAAAUAUUAGUUAAAAUACUAAUAUAUAUAUGAAAGACGACAAGACCCUGAUAAACUUCUCAUUUAAUUGGGGCAAUAAAUUAAAAAAACCUUAUUUAUUUAAAUAUAAAACCACAAAAGUGUAAUAUAAAAUAGUUACUACAGGGAUAACAGCGCAAUUCUUUUUAAGAGCUCUAAUCUAAAAAAGAUAUUACGACCUCGAUGUUGAAUUAGUUAUCUUUAAUGGAGCAACACCUAUUAUAGUAAGGUCUGUUCGACCACACAAAAC